GACGUAGGGCGCGAGCGUUUGUCCGGAUUUAUUGGGCGUAAAGAGCUCGUAGGCGGCUUGUUGCGUCAGCUGUGAAAACCCGCAGCUCAACUGUGGGCUUGCAGCUGAUACGGGCAGGCUUGAGUUCGGUAGGGGAGACUGGAAUUCCUGGUGUAGCGGUGAAAUGCGCAGAUAUCAGGAGGAACACCGGUGGCGAAGGCGGGUCUCUGGGCCGAUAUUGACGCUGGAGGAGCGAAAGCGUGGGGAGCGAACAGG
rnacentral:rRNA from 1 species